AUAGAUUUGAGUUUGUAAUCAUUAGUUUGGUUGGGAAUUCACAAUUUUUGUAUGCAAUAAUACACCACUGUAUCUCUCUCACGUUUUUACGUGUACAUACCCCCAUACUGUUUGAGGGGUUAGUGUUAAAAAUGUCAACGUUGCACUCACGCUUUAUGAUUUAGGUGGUAGGACUUAUCACCUAAACAUUGUUUUUUUUUUUGCAUUUUAUGUUUAUUUGGGGUUUCCACAGAGUGUUUUCCACAGCUAACAAACACCUUUGUUUCAUCACCCGUUUGUUUAAUUAUUUAAUUUGUUGUUCAAUAUUUAACUUGUCUCUUUUCCUUGUCUCCCUGUCAUCUUUCUAUCCUCAACAUUCACUCUCUGCAUUUCUAUAACUCACUCUCUGCACUGCCCCAUCAUUCACCAUCUGCACUGCCCCAUCAUUCACCGAUUGCACUGCCCCAUCAUUCACCAUCUGCACUGCCCCAUCAUUCACCAUCUGCACUGCCCCAUCAUUCACCGUCUGCACUGCCACGUCAUUCACCAUCUGCACUGCCCCAUCAUUCACCAUCUGCACUGCCCCAUCAUUCACCGUCUGCACUGCCCCGUCAUUCACCGUCUGCACUGCCCAAUCAUUCACCGAUUGCACUGCCCCAUCAUUCACUGUUUGCACUGCCCCGUCAUUCACCGUCUGCAUUGCCCCAUCAUUUACCGAUUGCACUGUCC